UACAGAGGUCCCGAGCGUUUGUUCGGAUUCAUUGGGCGUAAAGGGUGCGUAGGCGGCUUUCUAAGUCCGGUGUGAAAUCCUGGGGCUCAACCCUGGAACUGCAUUGGAUACUGGGAGGCUAGAGUACUGGAGAGGAAACUGGAAUUUACGGUGUAGCAGUGAAAUGCGUAGAGAUCGUAAGGAAGACCAGUGGCGAAGGCGAGUUUCUGGACAGUUACUGACGCUGAGGCACGAAGGCCAGGGGAGCAAACGGG
rnacentral:rRNA from 1 species